rnacentral:rRNA from 1 species
AGAGUUUGAUUCUGGCUCAGGAUGAACGCUAGCGACAGGCUUAACACAUGCAAGUCGAGGGGCAGCAUAAAAGUAGCAAUACUUGGUGGCGACCGGCGCACGGGUGAGUAACGCGUAUGCAACCUACCUAUCAGAGGGGAAUAACCCGGCGAAAGUCGGACUAAUACCGCAUAAAACAGGGGCACCGCAUGGUGAUAUUUGUUAAAGAAAUUCGCUGAUAGAUGGGCAUGCGUUCCAUUAGGUAGUUGGUGAGGUAACGGCUCACCAAGCCGACGAUGGAUAGGGAACUGAGAGGUUGGUCCCCCACACUGGUACUGAGACACGGACCAGACUCCUACGGGAGGCAGCAGUGAGGAAUAUUGGUCAAUGGGCGGGAGCCUGAACCAGCCAAGUCGCGUGAAGGAAGAAGGAUCUAUGGUUCGUAAACUUCUUUUGCAGGGGAAUAAAGUGCAGGACGUGUCCUGUUUUGUAUGUACCCUGAGAAUAAGGAUCGGCUAACUCCGUGCCAGCCGCUGC